AUUGAACGCUGGCGGCAGGCCUAACACAUGCAAGUCGGGCGAGUGGCGGACGGGUGAGUAAUGUCUGGGGAUCUGCCUGAUGGAGGGGGAUAACUACUGGAAACGGUAGCUAAUACCGCAUACCAUCGGAUGAACCCAUAUGGGAUUAGCUAGUAGGUGGGGUAACGGCUCACCUAGGCGACGAUCCCUAGCUGGUCUGAGAGGAUGACCAGCCACACUGGGACUGAGACACGGCCCAGACUCCUACGGGAGGCAGCAGUGGGGAAUAUUGCACAAUGGGCGCAAGCCUGAUGCAGCCAUGCCGCGUGUAUGAAGAAGGCCUUCGGGUUGUAAAGUACUUUCAGCCGGGAGGCGUUACCGGCAGAAGAAGCACCGGCUAACUCCGUGCCAGCAGCCGCGGUAAUAC
rnacentral:rRNA from 1 species